AGUGGGGAAUUUUGGACAAUGGGGGCAACCCUGAUCCAGCAAUGCCGCGUGUGUGAAGAAGGCCUUCGGGUUGUAAAGCACUUUUGUCCGGAAAGAAAUGGCUCUGGUUAAUACCCGGGGUCGAUGACGGUACCGGAAGAAUAAGCACCGGCUAACUACGUGCCAGCAGCCGCGGUAAUACGUAGGGUGCGAGCGUUAAUCGGAAUUACUGGGCGUAAAGCGUGCGCAGGCGGUUUUGUAAGACAGGCGUGAAAUCCCCGAGCUCAACUUGGGAAUGGCGCUUGUGACUGCAAGGCUAGAGUAUGUCAGAGGGGGGUAGAAUUCCACGUGUAGCAGUGAAAUGCGUAGAGAUGUGGAGGAAUACCGAUGGCGAAGGCAGCCCCCUGGGACGUCACUGACGCUCAUGCACGAAAGCGUGGGGAGCAAACAGGAUUAGAUACCCUGGUAGUCCACGCCCUAAACGAUGUCAACUAGUUGUUGGGG
rnacentral:rRNA from 1 species